rnacentral:tRNA from 1 species
UGUUCUGUGGCUUAGUUGGCUAAAGCGCCGGUCUAGCGAAUACGGAGUCGUGGGUUCGAAUCCCACCAGAACGU